rfam:Coniochaeta ligniaria NRRL 30616 unplaced genomic scaffold CONLIGscaffold_20, whole genome shotgun sequence.
GGAGAUAUAGUCUAGUUAGUAAAAUACUAACUUUGCAAGUCGGAUUCCUAGGUUCGAUUCCUAGUAUCUCUA